GGCUAAUACCGGACCUCAACAUCCGCCGGCAGGUCCUCGAACCUAAGCAAGUGGCGGCCGCGUGGCCGCCGGCGCGUUUCCGACUCCACGGCAAGCGGCAACGUCGGCGGCUAAAGCGGGAAGUGCGCGUCCGUGAUGGACAGAUAAGCCUCCGGCUGUAGCACUCUGCAUUUUUUUUUUUCUCUUUCUUCCUUUGACACCCCCGUUUCUAUCAUUUGCAGGACCAGUGGCGGAAGAAAACGAGCCAAUCACAAAAAAUCCUUCUCCCCAGCUUUUCUCACCUCCUACACAGCAUCUUAUCUCUUUAAUUUGCCGUUCGAGUGCUCGAUCUGUUUUCCAUUUUUUCCUCUCCUCUUAAUACCUUCCGUAAUCUGAUUAUUGCAUCGUUUCAGGCGGUUCAUGAGUUUGAUGUACUAGAUGGAGGUACAUUCAGUUCAGAAUCUGCAGACCUGAAGAAUGUUGGUGUACAUGUAAGUAUGUAUCUGGCUACUUCCAUUUUGGCAUUUGGAUCUGGGUAGCCUGAUGUUCAGCUCGCCGUCAUCAAUGAAGGUUGACGCAGAAUGUAUAAGCAUCAAGGUUUCCCUACUUCAAGCCACAUAAUGACAAUGGAUGUCAUUCCUUGCAAAUUUGAGUUCUCAAGGACAGAAGGUAUAAACAUCAAGGUUUCCCCAUUUCAAGCCACAGAAUGACAGUGGAUGUCAUUCCUUGCAAAUUUGAGUUCUCAAGGUGUAGCUCACCGUCAAUGCUCGAUGAAAGAUAUUGUGAUUUACAUUUCACAUGGUACAUUUCAUAGCUUUAUUUUGAUUUUCCUCGACCAUUUUUUAUUAUGUCUAGAUUCAUGGGAAGAACAUGGCCAAGAGGGUUGGUGGAUUUUAUGCUUGCUAUAUACUCACUUGUAUGAUAUGUUGAGAUCAAGGCUUCAAUUCAGAUCAAGGCUUUUAUGCAAAUCUUCAUGUCUAGAUUCUCUGCCGGCUGAUAUCUGUAACAAGAUUAGUUCUGAACUGUGUGUUUGUUGGCGCUGGUUCCCUGGAGUUCUGUUGUUGAAACCACCUUGAUCUGCUAAUUCUUUUUUCCUUCAUUACUGCUGUAUAGGCUCUUCUACUGCUCCCGCCUCCAUGUUCUUUGUAUCUUUAACCGUUUUUCUACCUUAAUAUAAGUGAAAACAGGGAUGCUUUCUACUCUACCUUUUCCGUGUGAACCUUGAGUCGGGCUCCCCUCUUUUCGUGCUUAUGGAUUAGCUAGCAGCAUUUACUUUCGAGUACCGAGUACGCCUGCGAGAAGACUUACUAAGGCUUGCGCCAAGGUCCACUACUAUGUCCACUAUCGAUAAGGGUGCUUUAGAUUUUUGGAAUUCCGAUAUGCUGAAAUAAACAUGAUAUUUCUUGUUUGAGAAGAUAAUAUGUACGAUAUUUCGGCGAGGCCCAUUAACCCAAGUGCUUGCUUAUUUGCUGCCCAUCUACACCAUGGAUGCAUAUAAGAGCAAUUGUGACGGUUUAGUGAAAUACAAUCCGUGGAUGAGACUCCUACAACCUGAAUAAAGGUAUUUUGGAUAAUUGUUUCGACCUCUACAAGCAUGUACUAUGUGCCUCACAUGGUAUAACUAUGAAGAAGUGCUUGAUGAAUCUGUACAUGACGGCACAUACGGGCUGCUUCCAGGUUUUAGUACAUUCAGUUCCUCUUUUAAGAUUGAGAAGUUGAGAUAUGAGAAUCCACUAGGUUUUUCAGCUUAGAUGAUUGACUAUGGAUAAUCCUUCCAUAACUUCCGGUGUGUCCUGGUCUUCAUCAAACCAACUAAUUAACUAAGCAUAUAUUAUUUGUUUUUCACUGAAAGUAAAUAUUAAGAAACAUAUUCUGUACUGUUCAUGGUAUUUCCAUUCAUUAGUAGUUAGGUUCAUGUCAGAUCUCAGUCAAGUAUUUCCUGCUUAAUGUAUUUUUUCUUACAUUUGUUUGUUUUGUUAGAAGCUACAACAUCAUAGUAAAAAAAUGAAAAUCAGUAUGAGGUUGGUACGUUCUUUAUUAUAGCAAGACCUAACCAGGUUAUUUUGCAUGUGCAGCUGUCAGGAGUAUUUUUCUUAACAUGUGUCUUACUCAAUGCAGGUGGUCAUCACUGAUAACCAAUAUCGCAUUGGUGCUUUGGUUCGGAUUAGGAGUCUUCAUGAUGUUCUGCCAUUGUUUGCCUAGAUAGUUGGUGUGCCAUGAAAGUACCUAUUUUAUUUUUUCCCGCUAUUGUCUUCUAACUGACAGAUAUGUUAUGUUAGUAGACGAUACAUCCAAGGUAUGUUUCCUAAAUGGAGUCAAAAUUUGAAAUUUAUCUCCUGAUCUUGAGAUAUGAAGCAAUUAUUUGUCUCAGGAAAAGAGAGGGUCUAAUUCAACUGUGAUGACUUUUGCAAUUUGAACAGUGUAUUACUAUUUCUCAUUGUAAGCCGAAUUAUUUUAUUACUAUCUGAAAAAUGUCAUCGCACAAUUCAACAUGAAAUGUAGGAGGCUAAAUUUUGUAACACAUUUAUAAUAGCGAUAAUCUUGGAUUUGAAGUGACUUGUGGUAACUGGUGAAAUAUUACUAAAGUUACUCGACAAACUCCAUCACUGGCAUUAUCCAGAAGAGAGAAAAAUGGAUCCACCACACAAUCACAUUUCAUGUCAUACUGCUGUUUGUUGCAUUCAUACAACGGCUUAUGCUCCUUUCGUUCCUGUUGUUAGUGCUGUUGCUAAUCUUUGUAACUGAGGACUUACUCAAAACCAUCAUAAUCCUGUUAAAGGAUAUGUUUUCUUUGCUUGCUUUAGUAUCCCUUAUUCUUAAAUAUAUGUAGCUUCUUUACUGAAUAAGGUAGUUUACAAGCUCUGGCGGGGGUCGCCCCACCAAGUAGGCAAGCCUCAUGCUUCCAGGCAUGCUCCCGCAGGAACUUUUUGCUCUUUAAAAAGCCCCCUAUAUUUUUUAUUCCGGGAUUUAUAUGUCCUCUUUUAUGGCAAAUCA